rnacentral:sRNA from 1 species
UUUUUUUUGGCUGUUUCUCUGAUAUCUUUGGCUCCCCUUUCCUGGCUUAGAGGGGCACCCUUUGGCCACAUCUCCUACCCUGACCCCAGAUUCCAGCCCUGAGCUCCAGAAACAGAGAGACUUGUUAGAGAGCCCAGGAGAUGCCUUCUCCUCUCCACAACCCUGAGGAGCCCGAGGGGUAACUAGGAGCUGACUGGGCCUUGAGGGUAUUGGGGUUCCAACCUGACCCUCAUGCUGUGAUCCCCCCAGGAUGAGAAGGCUGAGGGCCUCAUCAAUGUCUCCAACUAUAGUCUGGAAAGUGGACACGAUCAGAAGAAGAAAUAUGUGUUUCAGCUCACCCAUGAUGUGUACAAACCCUUCAUCUUCGCUGCUGAUACCCUGACAGAUUUGAGCAUGUGGGUGCGUCAUCUCAUUACCUGCAUUUCCAAGUACCAGUCUCCAGGCCGGGCCCCCCUGCCCCAAG